rnacentral:rRNA from 1 species
GACGAACGCUGGCGGCAGGCUUAACACAUGCAAGUCGAACGGGCGUAGCAAUACGUCAGUGGCAGACGGGUGAGUAACGCGUGGGAAUAUGCCCUUUAGUUCGGAAUAACUCAGGGAAACUUGAGCUAAUACCGGAUAAUCCCGAGAGGGGAAAGAUUUAUCGCUGAAGGAGUAGCCCGCGUCUGAUUAGCUAGUUGGUGAGGUAAUGGCUCACCAAGGCGACGAUCAGUAGCUGGUCUGAGAGGAUGAUCAGCCACACUGGGACUGAGACACGGCCCAGACUCCUACGGGAGGCAGCAGUGGGGAAUAUUGGACAAUGGGGGCAACCCUGAUCCAGCCAUGCCGCGUGAGUGAUGAAGGCCUUAGGGUUGUAAAACUCUUUUGUCCGGGAAGAUAAUGACUGUACCGGAAGAAUAAGCCCCGGCUAACUUCGUG